rnacentral:lncRNA from 1 species
CUCCGCUCCUGACAGAUGGCGCAACUGCAACGACGCGCCGCCGCCACCAGCGCGGCUGCUCGCUGCUACUCUUGCUGAUGCUCUGCCCCUCCAGCUCCGGAGGGGAGCGAGGAGGGGGCGGGGCGCGCCUCGAGAGUGACAGGCCCGGCUGCCCUAUCAAAGAGCCCCUUGGGAGCUGCGAGCCGCAACCAUUGGCGCCUGGGGCGUGGGCGGGACGGCAGUAGGUGGGGCCGCCGAGUGGGUUGAGCGUUACUGUGGCAGCGGGCAUCCCAGGGUGCGUGCGGUGCAGGGUGUGCAAGAAAAUGCGAGGUUGGAGGAGGAGCUUUAAAUGGAUUUGGACUCCUCAGGAGGAUUUGCUAAUGGUCUGAACAAGUGAAUAGAGCACUGCAAAAGAUUUGUAUACUAUUCCCGUUUUGAUCUUUUCUGCCAAUCUCUACCAAGAACUUGAUUAAAGAUCUGAGACGCUGUCCCUGGCCUACCCAAGUUUUAAUCUUCUCUUAAAUGUCAACUCAACAACAACACAUAUGGCAAGGGUAAAAACCCUCAAUGUAGAGUUUUUACAAAUCAACAAGAAAAUAAAGAUGAACGUUCGAACUGAAAAAUAUGUGCAACAGAAACAAAACCCAAAAUGGCCAGUAAAUGUGAUAGGAGGUUCAACAGGAAAAUGGAUAUCCAUACCCUACUAGUGGAAUUUUUAAUUGGUACAACAUUGCUGGAAGGCAGUUUAAUAGCAUUUGUGAAAAGCCUUUUAAAAAAAUGUAUACAUUUGACUUAGCAAUUUUACUUCUGGGAAAGAAUGGAACAAAUUUGCAAAUACACAAACACAAGCGCACAUAUCAUGGGAAUAAUUGGAACAUUGUUUAUAAUAGUGAAACACUGAGAAAAGUUCAUUGAUAAGGGAUUUGGUGUGUAAAUUAUGUUAUAUCUAUAAUAGAAUACUAUAUAGCCAUAAAAUUAUAACAUUGCCAUUUAUUUAUUUAUUUGUGUGGAAAGAUGUUCACAACAA